CACACUUAAUGUGUUGUGAAAUCUAUUGUGAGUGUAUUGUAAUGUUUUAAAAUUGUAGAACUGGCUUAAUUUUGCUGGACCUAAAGGGGAUCCAUAAUAAAUACAAGCAGAUAUAUGUUCUAACCUCUUGACACUUAAACCCAGUAAAUCCUGCAGCAGUGUUUCCCUGGGUUCCUGUGGUCUGGGUGGGGGCUGUCCUGACUGCUGGAGCUCUGCUCCUCACCAUCUACUGCACUCUGAAGAGGAGAUACACAGGAGAAAGUGAUGCCACAACAGACACACAGAGUGUCCAUCCUGACUGUAACAGUGACACUUACACAGGUCUGAAGAUGAGGACCAUGUCCCCUGACUAUGACACUCUGGCAAGUGUCCAUUCUGACCCUAACAGUAACAAGUGCACAUCUCUGAAGAAGAAUACCAGGUCACCAGAGUGACAUCCAGGCAGUAGAGAGAUAGUGAACCACCACAGAGCCUGGACUGAAUAGAACCACCACAGAACCUGGACUGAAGAGAACCACCACAGAACCUGGAAUGAAGAGAACCAUCACAGAACCUGGAAUGAAGACAACCCCCACAGAACCUGGACUGAAGAGAAGCACCACAGAACCUGGACUGAAGAGAAGCACCACAGAACCUGGACUGAAGAGAAGCACCACAGAACCUGGACUGAAGAGAAGCACCACAGAACCUGGACUGAAGAGAAUCACCACUGCAUCUAGACUGAAGAGAAUCACCACAGAAGCUGGACUAAAGAGCUACGGUUCCAAUCCAAAGCCAGGCCUCACACCUCUAUUCUCUUGCAACCAUAUCUAGAUGGUUUUCCAGACCAGGAACUUUAGCUUUGAGUAAAUGCUGGAAUAUAUUUGUUAUUUUCUUAUUAUGAUGAUAAAUGGGAUGGGUUAUGCUUCUGCUUUUUUUCAAUGGGAUUUUCCCUUUUCCAUAUUUUUCUUGUGUCCUAAUCUGUUUCCUAUCUGUAGUUUAAGAUUACAUUUCUGAUCUGUUUCUAUGGGGUUUUGCCAUAUACAGAUGUUUUAUAACAUCAAUAGUACUACUUUCCUCAGUAACUAAUGUGGAUAAUAUUGAUAACAG